AUUGAACGCUGGCGGCAUGCCUAACACAUGCAAGUCGAACGGCAGCACAGCAGUAGCAAUACUGUGGGUGGCGAGUGGCGGACGGGUGAGGAAUACAUAGGAAUCUGCCCAGUCGUGGGGGAUAACGUAGGGAAACUUACGCUAAUACCGCAUACGACCGUGAGGUGAAAGAGGGGGACCGCAAGGCCUCCCGUGAUGGGAUGAGCCUAUGUCGGAUUAGCUAGUUGGCGGGGUAAAGGCCCACCAAGGCGACGAUCCGUAGCUGGUCUGAGAGGAUGAUCAGCCACACUGGAACUGAGACACGGUCCAGACUCCUACGGGAGGCAGCAGUGGGGAAUAUUGGACAAUGGGCGCAAGCCUGAUCCAGCAAUGCCGCGUGGGUGAAGAAGGCCUUCGGGUUGUAAAGCCCUUUUGUACGGGAAGAAAAGCUUCGGGCUAAUACCCUGGGGUCAUGACGGUACCGUAAGAAUAAGCACCGGCUAACUUCGUGCCAGCAGCCGCCGUAACAC
rnacentral:rRNA from 1 species